GCUAGGGGUGCCGGCGCGCGCAUCGAAACGCGGGCCGGCUGAGAGAGUCCCUUUGAACCUGACUGAGGUAAUCCUCGCGCAGGGAAGC
rnacentral:misc_RNA from 1 species